GACAAAGCAUUGAUGGGGACGAGUAGCGGCGUACGCGGCCGAGAGCGACCCGGGGACGGUGGGAGCCCGGGGGCGAGCGCGUCGUGAAGAUCACCCCGGAGCCGCCGGAAGAAAGCCGCCAGGCGAGUAGACCCGGUUUCGCGAACCCAAUGAGGGGGCUGACCGGAGGACCGGUGGGCCAAGGAGGGUGGUACCGCGGGAGCGAAACGGCUCUCGUCCCUCCG
rnacentral:ncRNA from 1 species